rnacentral:rRNA from 1 species
GAUGAACGCUGGCGGCGUGCCUAAUACAUGCAAGUCGAGCGAACGGACGAGAAGCUUGCUUCUCUGAUGUUAGCGGCGGACGGGUGAGUAACACGUGGAUAACCUACCUAUAAGACUGGGAUAACUUCGGGAAACCGGAGCUAAUACCGGAUAAUAUUUUGAACCGCAUGGUUCAAAAGUGAAAGACGGUCUUGCUGUCACUUAUAGAUGGAUCCGCGCUGCAUUAGCUAGUUGGUAAGGUAACGGCUUACCAAGGCAACGAUGCAUAGCCGACCUGAGAGGGUGAUCGGCCACACUGGAACGGAGCCACGGUCCAGACUCCUACGGGAGGCAGCAGUAGGGAAUCGUCCGCAAUGGGCGAAAGCCUGACGGAGCAACGCCGCGUGAGUGAUGAAGGUCUUCGGAUCGUAAAACUCUGUUAUUAGGGAAGAACAUAUGUGUAAGUAACUGUGCACAUCUUGACGGUACCUAAUCAGAAAGCCACGGCUAACUACGUG